rnacentral:rRNA from 1 species
CAGCAGGCACGCAAAUUACCCACUCCCGGCACGGGGAGGUAGUGACAAAAAAUAACGAUACGGGACUCAUCCGAGGCCCCGUAAUCGGAAUGAGUACACUUUAAAUCCUUUAACAAGGAUCUAUUGGAGGGCCAGUCUGGUGCCAGCAGCCGCGGUAAUUCCAGCUCCAAUAGCGUAUAUUAAAGUUGUUGCGGUUAAAAAGCUCGUAGUUGGUUCUGUGUGCCAUGCUGUUGGUUCACCGCCUGCCGGUGUAACUGACAUGUCAUGGGACGUCCUGUCGGUGGUAAUUAAAAGCUUAUUAUUUUUAUAUUAGGUUUUACCUUUUAUUGUAAAUUUUAAGUUCUUUUAAUUACCGAUUAAUACCCGCCGCGGUGCUCUUUACUGAGUGUCGAGGUGGGCCGACACGUUUACUUUGAACAAAUUAGAGUGCUUAAAGCAGGCAAAUGUCUGCCUAAAUAGUGGUGCAUGGAAUAAUAGAAUAAGACCUUGAUUCUAUUUUGUUGGUUUUCUGAAUUCAAGGUAAUGAUCAAUAUGGACAGUCGGGGGCAUUCGUAUUGCGGCGUUAGAGGUGAAAUUCUUGGAUCGUCGCAAGACGAACUAGAGCGAAAGCAUUUGCCAAGUAUGUCUUAAUUGAUCAAGAACGAAAGUUAGAGGUUCGAAGGCGAUCAGAUACCGCCCUAGUUCUAACCAUAAACGAUGUCAACUAGCGAUCCGUCGAUGUUUUUUUCAUGACUCGACGGGCAGCUUCCGGGAAACCAAAGCUUUUGGGUUCCGGGGGAAGUAUGGUUGCAAAGCUGAAACUUAAAGGAAUUGACGGAAGGGCACCACAAGUAGUGGAGCCUGCGGCUUAAUUUGACUCACACGGGAAACCUCACCAGGCCCAGACAUUGGAAGGAUUGACAGAUUGAUAGCUCUUUCUUGAUUCAGUGGGUAGUGGGCA